UACGUAGGGUGCGAGCGUUGUCCGGAAUUACUGGGCGUAAAGAGCUCGUAGGUGGUUUGUCACGUCGUCUGUGAAAUUCCGGGGCUUAACCUCGGGCGUGCAGGCGAUACGGGCAAUACUUGAGUGCUGUAGGGGAGACUGGAAUUCCUGGUGUAGCGGUGAAAUGCGCAGAUAUCAGGAGGAACACCGGUGGCGAAGGCGGGUCUCUGGGUAGUAACUGACGCUGAGGAGCGAAAGCAUGGGUAGCGAACAGGAUUAGAUACCCCGGUAGU
rnacentral:rRNA from 1 species